rnacentral:rRNA from 1 species
AUUGAACGCUGGCGGCAUGCCUUACACAUGCAAGUCGAACGGCAGCAUGAUCUAGCUUGCUAGAUUGAUGGCGAGUGGCGAACGGGUGAGUAAUACAUCGGAACGUGCCCUGUAGUGGGGGAUAACUAGUCGAAAGAUUAGCUAAUACCGCAUACGACCUGAGGGUGAAAGUGGGGGACCGCACGGCCUCAUGCUAUAGGAGCGGCCGAUGUCUGAUUAGCUAGUUGGUGAGGUAAAGGCUCACCAAGGCGACGAUCAGUAGCUGGUCUGAGAGGACGAUCAGCCACACUGGGACUGAGACACGGCCCAGACUCCUACGGGAGGCAGCAGUGGGGAAUUUUGGACAAUGGGCGAAAGCCUGAUCCAGCAAUGCCGCGUGUGUGAAGAAGGCCUUCGGGUUGUAAAGCACUUUUGUCCGGAAAGAAAUGGCUCUGGUUAAUACCUGGGGUCGAUGACGGUACCGGAAGAAUAAGAACCGGCUAACUACGUG